rnacentral:rRNA from 1 species
UACGUAUGGGGCAAGCGUUAUCCGGAUUUAUUGGGCGUAAAGCGCGCGUAGGCGGCUUGUUAAGUCAGGUGUGAAAUCCGGGGGCUCAACCCGCGGCUUGCAUCUGAAACUGGCAGGCUUGAGUCUGGUAGAGGAAAGUGGAAUUCCUGGUGUAGCGGUGAAAUGCGCAGAUAUCAGGAGGAACACCAGUGGCGAAGGCGGCUUUCUGGGCCACGACUGACGCUGAGGCGCGAAAGCUAGGGGAGCGAACAGG